rnacentral:tRNA from 1 species
GCUGGGAUAGCUGAGUAGGUAGAGCAUGAGGUUCUUAAUUUCAGGGUUGUGGGUUUGAGCCCCACGUUGGGCA